rnacentral:rRNA from 1 species
GAUGAACGCUGGCGGCGUGCCUAAUACAUGCAAGUCGAGCGAAUGGAUUGAGAGCUUGCUCUUAUGAAGUUAGCGGCGGACGGGUGAGUAACACGUGGGUAACCUGCCCAUAAGACUAGGAUAACUCCGGGAAACCGGGGCUAAUACCGGAUAACAUUUUGAACCGCAUGGUUCGAAAUUGACAGGCGGCUCAUGCUGUCACGUAUGGAUGGACCCGCGUCGCAUUAGCUAGUUGGUGAGGUAACGGCUCACCAAGGCAACGAUGCGUAGCCGACCGGAGAGGGGGAUCGGCCACACUGGGACUGAGACACGGCCCAUACUCCUACGGGAGGCAGCAGUAGGGAAUCUUCCGCAAUGGACGAAAGUCUGACGGAGCAACGCCGCGUGAGUGAUGAAGGCUUUCGGGUCGUAAAACUCUGUUGUUAGGGAAGAACAAGUGCUAGUUGAAUAAGCUGGCACCUUGGCGGUACCUAACCAGAAAGCCACGGCUAACUACGUGCCAGCAGCCGCCGUAA